rnacentral:rRNA from 1 species
AUUGAACGCUGGCGGCAUGCCUUACACAUGCAAGUCGAACGGCAGCACGGGUGCUUGCACCUGGUGGCGAGUGGCGAACGGGUGAGUAAUACAUCGGAACAUGUCCUGUAGUGGGGGAUAGCCCGGCGAAAGCCGGAUUAAUACCGCAUACGAUCUACGGAUGAAAGCGGGGGACCUUCGGGCCUCGCGCUAUAGGGUUGGCCGAUGGCUGAUUAGCUAGUUGGUGGGGUAAAGGCCUACCAAGGCGACGAUCAGUAGCUGGUCUGAGAGGACGACCAGCCACACUGGGACUGAGACACGGCCCAGACUCCUACGGGAGGCAGCAGUGGGGAAUUUUGGACAAUGGGCGAAAGCCUGAUCCAGCAAUGCCGCGUGUGUGAAGAAGGCCUUCGGGUUGUAAGCACUUUUGUCCGGAAAGAAAUCCUUGGCCCUAAUACGGUCGGGGGAUGACGGUACCGGAAGAAUAGGCACCGGCUAACUACGUG